rnacentral:sRNA from 1 species
AAAAAAAAAACUCUAGUAAUUUACUGUGUGGGUGGAUCUUCUAUAAGGCACGUAACUAUAAUAUUCUAUCUCUUGUGAAUGACGGGCCUACACUUUCGAACUAGAAGCUGAAGUUGCAAAACUUAAGGAAAUAAACAGAGAAUUGGAAAGAAAACAGAAAUUAAGGAAAUGCAGAAAAACAAGGUAUGAUCUGUUUUGCAUAUGAAUCUCUGCCAAUGUUCUCUUCAUCAAAUGGCUCUUUCCUCACUUUUUUCUACUGGUUGACACCAAUAGAGAGAUUUACCAACAUAAAUUAUUUUUCAAUUUAUUUUCACAGUUUGAAAGCCAAAUAAACAUUUUUUAUUUGUUUAUCUAAGCAGGAUUCAGACCCUGCAUGCCAGCCAAGGGUAAGUAAAAUACAAUGCUUGAGAAGGACACUUACAGGACCAUGGUAGUGGUAGACAAUGUGAGUAGUUGUUUCUGAGUAACAGAUAUCCGAAGGAGAAAAUCAUUGUUGUGUCAUAAGAACCGGUGUAUGUUUGUGAACUGUGAGGUAAUUGCAGUUCAACACUAGAUAGGAUGGUAGCUAGCUAUUAUUAGUUUUAUGUAUAGGAACUAGGAGUGGUGAGUUGUACAUUAUUAAACAUGUAUAUUCAAAUAAUGAAUUAUUAUAUGUGCUUGAAUAUUAUUUUCUUUUCUAUUGCAGGAAGAUAAGAUAACUCAAUCUUAUUAAGCUAUCAUUUUAAGAUAUUAAUUGACGUGGGUCCCACCUGAAGUAUGAAUAAAAGAAUUGAAGGAAAGGGAUAAUAGUUUUAUUUGUUAAAGUACGUAGGGAAGGUUUAAACCCUUGCCCUCUCAAACAAUCACAGCACCCAUGGCUACCAUUCCACAAGCUUUUAUGCUGAAAGUAAUGUAC